rnacentral:rRNA from 1 species
CCGGCCGGGUUAAUACCCUGGUUGAAUGACGGUACCAAAGAAUAAGCACGGCUAACUUCGUGCCAGCAGCCGCGGUAAUACGAAGGGUGCAAGCGUUACUCGGAAUUACUGGGCGUAAAGCGUGCGUAGGCGGUUUGUUAAGUCUGCUGUGAAAGCCCUGGGCUCAACCUGGGAACUGCAGUGGAUACUGGCGAGCUAGAGUGUGUCAGAGGAUGGUGGAAUUCCCGGUGUAGCGGUGAAAUGCGUAGAGAUCGGGAGGAACACCAGUGGCGAAGGCGGCCAUCUGGGACAACACUGACGCUGAGGCACGAAAGCGUGGGGAGCAAACAGGAUUAGAUACCCUGGUAGUCCACGCCCUAAACGAUGCGAACUGGACGUUGGGCACACUUAGGUGCUCAGUGUCGAAGCUAACGCGUUAAGUUCGCCGCCUGGGGAGUACGGUCGCAAGACUGAAACUCAAAGGAAUUGACGGGG